GCAACAGUUUGUUGCGAAAGCUUGAAUUUUGUGUGUAUGUUUGUGUUUGUUUGUGUGUCUGUCGACCUGCCAGCACUUUCAUUUGGUGGCAAAAUGCAAAAUGGAUCCUGGAGGAAUGAAGUGGGAAGCUGCAAAGAAAUGGGUACAGGUACAAACUAAGGAAUUACAGAGCAAAGAGAAGCUAGACCCUGAUAUUGCUUGAAGACUUACGGGGAUGUCAGAUGAAAAGCAUUAUGAUCCACCUGAGUACAAUGAUACAAAUUGGCAUAUGAAUAUGCAAAGUAAAGGUCAUCCUCAGACAAGCUGAAGCACUGCAAGAAAUUACAGCAGCAUGAUGACUGCCACCCCAGCCUGUUCAAUUGGAAACAACUCAACAAACAGUUCAAGCACCUAAAUUCAGAGAGUUUAUGAGGCAAAGUGAAGACUAGGCUGAUAUGUUGCACAUCUGAUGGCUUAUUUCAGCACCUACAGCAUAACAGGUACUCUCUGCCUUCCCAGUCUGCAUAAAGUUCUUCUUCCAGUCUUGGAAGCGUACUGACAGCAGUAAUCAUUGUAUCAUAUACAUUCUGAAGAGCUUCACUAAAUGCAUUAAAUGAUG